rnacentral:rRNA from 1 species
AUUGAACGCUGGCGGCAUGCCUUACACAUGCAAGUCGAACGGCAGCACGGGAGCAAUCCUGGUGGCGAGUGGCGAACGGGUGAGUAAUAUAUCGGAACGUGCCCAGUCGUGGGGAUAACGUAGCGAAAGCUACGCUAAUACCGCAUACGAUCUAUGGAUGAAAGCGGGGGAUCGCAAGACCUCGCGCGAUUGGAGCGGCCGAUAUCAGAUUAGGUAGUUGGUGAGGUAAAGGCUCACCAAGCCGACGAUCUGUAGCUGGUCUGAGAGGACGACCAGCCACACUGGGACUGAGACACGGCCCAGACUCCUACGGGAGGCAGCAGUGGGGAAUUUUUGGACAAUGGGCGCAAGCCUGAUCCAGCAAUGCCGCGUGCAGGAUGAAGGCCUCGGUGUAACUAG